rnacentral:rRNA from 1 species
UUAGCAUAGCGUGCUCGCGAGUCAUUGGGUGUUACAAAACCUAAAGGCGAAAUGAAAGUGAAGAGAGUCCUCGUGACCCUCAAGGGAGGAUGAGCUACUGCUCUGGUCGUUCUAACAGGCGGCUGAGCGUGUCUCCGCACUCCCGGGGCGAUUCUUUCUCAUUGCGAGUGGAAGCGCACCAAGAGCGAGCACGCUGAAACCCGAAAGAUGGUGAACUAUGCCUGGCCAGGACGAAGCCAGGGGAAACCCUGGUGGAGGUCCGCAGCGAUUCUGACGUGCAAAUCGAUCGUCGGAGCUGGGUAUAGGGGCGAAAGACCAAUCGAACCAUCUAGUAGCUGGUUCCCUCUGAAGUUUCCCUCAGGAUAGCUUGCGCUCGGGUGUGAAGAGUCUCAUCCGGUAGAGCGAAUGAUUAGAGGCCUUGGGGUCGAAACGACCUCAACCUAUUCUCAAACUCCAAAUAGAUGAGAACCCCGGCUUGCUUGAAUAUUUUUUUUGAAGCCGCGGGACUCGGAUCAGAGUGCCAAGUGGGCCAAUUUUGGUAAGCAGAACUGGCGCUGUGGGAUGAACCAAACGCAGAGUUAAGGCGCCCGAAUCGACGCUCAUGCGAAACCAUGAAAGGCGUUGGUUGCUUAAGACAGUAGGUCGGUGGCCCUGGAAAAUUAGAAACCGGCUAAAGAAGGGGGGUAAACAACUU